GGGUCAAGAAUGCUGGAAAGUGUUAAUGGCAGUUUUAUCAUGGAGGACCUCAAGGACAUUUGUGUAAGAAAGAAGUUGGAAUCUACAAUGUCCUCCACCAAUCCAUGUGUUGAAUGUUGGUUCCCAACUGGUGGUGCUGUUUUGAGAGGUUCUUGAAGAACCCUUUGCUCGGAUCCUUGUGAAGCGUUGUAGCCCCGUAACCGCCAACAGCUCCCUGCAAUUAAUAUGGUCAUUUUUCUCUGUAUUCCAUGAAAAUGUGUAACAAAAUAAAGACAUAAUAAAAUGAAUCUGGUGGAAUGGUGGCACACCUGCAACCCCAGUACUACCAGGGGGCCGUAAGUUUGAGGACAGACAGGGUC